rnacentral:rRNA from 1 species
AACGAACGCUGGCGGCAUGCCUAACACAUGCAAGUCGAACGAGACCUUCGGGUCUAGUGGCGCACGGGUGCGUAACGCGUGGGAACCUGCCCUUAGGUUCGGAAUAACUCCCCGAAAGGGGUGCUAAUACCGGAUAAUGUCUUCGGACCAAAGAUUUAUCGCCUUUGGAUGGGCCCGCGUUGGAUUAGCUAGUUGGUAGGGUAAAAGCCUACCAAGGCGACGAUCCAUAGCUGGUCUGAGAGGAUGAUCAGCCACACUGGGACUGAGACACGGCCCAGACUCCUACGGGAGGCAGCAGUGGGGAAUAUUGGACAAUGGGCGAAAGCCUGAUCCAGCAAUGCCGCGUGAGUGAUGAAGGCCUUAGGGUUGCAAAGCUCUUUUACCCGGGAUGAUAAUGACAGUACCGGGAGAAUAAGCGCCGGCUAACUCCGUG